rnacentral:tRNA from 1 species
GUCCUCGUCGUAUAACGGAUAAGACAUCUCCCUCCGAAGGAGGAAACGCAGGUUCGACUCCUGCCGAGGACA